rnacentral:rRNA from 1 species
UACGGAGGGUGCGAGCGUUGUCCGGAAUCAUUGGGCGUAAAGGGCGCGUAGGUGGCGGGAUAAGCGUGCGGUGAAAGCUCGGGGCUCAACCCCGAGUCGGCCGUGCGAACUGUCAGGCUUGAGCACAGUAGAGGCAGAUGGAAUUCCGGGUGUAGCGGUGGAAUGCGUAGAGAUCCGGAAGAACACCGGUGGCGAAGGCGGUCUGCUGGGCUGUGGCUGACGCUGAUGCGCGACAGCGUGGGGAGCAAACAGG